AUUGAACGCUGGCGGCAGGCCUAACACAUGCAAGUCGAACGGUAACAGGAAACAGCUUGCUGUUUCGCUGACGAGUGGCGGACGGGUGAGUAAUGUCUGGGAAACUGCCUGAUGGAGGGGGAUAACUACUGGAAACGGUAGCUAAUACCGCAUAACGUCGCAAGACCAAAGAGGGGGACCUUCGGGCCUCUUGCCAUCGGCUGUGCCCAGAUGGGAUUAGCUAGUAGGUGGGGUAACGGCUCACCUAGGCGACGAUCCCUAGCUGGUCUGAGAGGAUGACCAGCCAAACUGGAACGGAGACACGGUCCAGACCCCUACGGGAGGCAGCAGUGGGGAAUAUUGCACAAUGGGGGCAAGCCUGAGGCAGCCAUGCCGCGUGUAUGAAGAAGGCCUUCGGGUUGUAAAGUACUUUAAGCGGGGAGGAAGGGAGUAAAGUUAAUACCGUUGCUCAUUGACGUUACCCGCAGAAGAAGCACCGGCUAACUCCGU
rnacentral:rRNA from 1 species